AUUGAACGCUGGCGGCAGGCCUAACACAUGCAAGUCGAGCGGAUGAAGGGAGCUUGCUCCUGGAUUCAGCGGCGGACGGGUGAGUAAUGCCUAGGAAUCUGCCUGGUAGUGGGGGAUAACGUCCGGAAACGGGCGCUAAUACCGCAUACGUCCUGAGGGAGAAAGUGGGGGAUCUUCGGACCUCACGCUAUCAGAUGAGCCUAGGUCGGAUUAGCUAGUUGGUGGGGUAAAGGCCUACCAAGGCGACGAUCCGUAACUGGUCUGAGAGGAUGAUCAGUCACACUGGAACUGAGACACGGACCAGACUCCUACGAGAGGCAGCAGUGGGGAAUAGUGGACAAUGGGCGAAAGCCUGAUCCAGCCAUGACGCGUGUGAAGAAGGUCUUCGGAUUGUAAAGCACUUUAAGUUGGGAGGAAGGGCAGUAAGUUAAUACCUUGCUGUUUUGACGUUACCAACAGAAUAAGCACCGGCUAACUUCGUG
rnacentral:rRNA from 1 species